UUGAAAUAAAUCUGAAAUGAGUUCAUAUUUGAUUGCUAAUAUAGAAUGACUGUGGUAAAUAGACUUCGCAGGUCAAACGUGAGAAGUCUUAAUUAACCUAAACUCGCGCUUUUAAAAUGCGACUUUACUUUGGCAUGUAGUAGAGCUUCAAAUCAGAGGCUUUUCAUCACCAUGGCUGCACCUCGCCGGCGAAGGGGAAAUCCAUGGCACUCAACGCCUAUCAUUUUCUACUUGGAUUCUUAAUUCUCCGUUUCCAAGCAUUUCCCCUGCGAAAUCCAUUGCAAAUCGUUCAAGCUUCUCCACUGUGUACCCAAUCAAGUCACGCGGCCAAACUGCUUUUGAUGGUGAGGUCGGUAGAAAAGAUCGAAAUAUUUGUUGGCCAUUUCCUUUGCUUGGUGAAAUCCAACAAAGAAUCAGAUGUGCUUCCUCCACUAUAUGUCCCUGAGUUCAGAUGGUGGGGUUGCCAAAACUGUCUCCAAAGAACUGAUGCUUCAGAUGAUGCAGCAGAGACAUUAGACUGGUUAUCAAUUGUAAACGUAAAUAGACUAAUUUCGAGUGCAUAAAUUUCUCAAUGGUUAAGCCAUGGCAUCACGCAACAUUGACAUCAAAUUUUUGCUUCCUCAUAUUGGCAGCAUCUGCUCGUACAAUUUGUGGAUCGAGAAAUUCUGAUUUCAACACUUCAAUGGAUGUAAUUGGUUCUGAAAUUUGCCCAUUGGCACAUGAUCACAUGAAAGAAAAGGUAGUCAAUGCCACGUCCAUCAUUAGACAAGAUUUGUUAUCAUCUGAAACUACAACAAUAUUGUGGUAAAUGAUGUUGAUGAGACAAUGAAAGAACCAAUUUCUUCUAAAAUGAAGGUCGCUCAAGUUAUCGAUGGAGAAUUCAAUAGAGGGGCAGAAGCGAUAAAUCUCAACUUGGAAAACAGUGGACAGGUAUGAGUUGGUUAUGAAAACUGUGGAAGUAGAGAAGUGUAUAAAGGUAUAUUAGAAUGUGUGAAUAACAGUUUCACUGAAUUAUUCCAAAAGGAGAAGGGUAUAGUUUCCAUAAUAGCUAAAUCAAGUGAACAAGUCAAGGACAUGAAGUGUCACCGGAAACCUGAGCCCGGGACUCUGGAAAAUGAGGUUGUUCGCUCUCUCAUUGGUUUUCAUACAAGCAAACAUAAUCCUUUGGAAUUCACUGCGAAUGAGGAUGACAAGGAUGCACAUGGUUUCUCAAGCCUGUAAUUUUCGUUUGUUGUAUUUGUAUAAUCUGAACGUAUAUGUGCAAUCUACAGUCUCUCUAUUUCAACUUGCAUGCUUUACACUUCA